rnacentral:lncRNA from 1 species
AGAGCUCACGCCCAUCCCCUGUGCCUACACAGCAGGCAGCUCUCUGGCCUCUACUUCCUCUUCACAGCCAUCCCUAACUUGUUUGCUGCGCCCCAGACCAUUCAGUCUUGUCUUCACCCUUUAGAAUUUCUCUGGUUCCUGACGUACACAAGGGAUUGGUCAGAGGGAUGCACCAGAAGAAAUCCUACCACACAGAAGUUUUCUGUAAAAAAAAACGAGAUGGUGAAAUUUGAAUGCAGAAGUAACUGAUCUGUUCUGAACUUAUAAUGAUGAAAUAAUGGAACAGGAAAGAGGAUUCUGACUCCGGUGUUGAGGAAUGAGGCCCAGGAUCUGAAUUUUAUCCUUGAAAGGAGAGAAAUGCUGUGAAAAACAGGCCCGGCAUUUGCAGGAUGUGACUCUUAACUCCGACUCUUGUCAGCCGCGAAACUUUGAAGAAAGGAAAAAUGCAUUGGUCUAUUCAUAGUGUAACAAGAUGCUUUGCCAGAAGGUUGCCCUGGAGCUUUGAGCUCUUCUGAUUUGUAGUCCAUAGGUUUCCAGAGGAGAAUGCUUCCAACAAAGGACUCAACAGCAGCUCCAUUAGUUUGAAAGUUGAGACUGCCCACUCUGGCC